rnacentral:rRNA from 1 species
GACGUAGGGCGCGAGCGUUGUCCGGAUUUAUUGGGCGUAAAGAGCUCGUAGGCGGCUUGUCGCGUCGACUGUGAAAACUCGGGGCUCAACUCCGAGCUUGCAGUCGAUACGGGCAGACUAGAGUUCGGUAGGGGAGACUGGAAUUCCUGGUGUAGCGGUGAAAUGCGCAGAUAUCAGGAGGAACACCGGUGGCGAAGGCGGGUCUCUGGGCCGAAACUGACGCUGAGGAGCGAAAGCGUGGGGAGCAAACAGG